UACGAAGGGGGGCUAGCGUUGCUCGGAAUCACUGGGCGUAAAGCGCACGUAGGCGGAUCUUUAAGUCAGGGGUGAAAUCCUGGAGCUCAACUCCAGAACUGCCUUUGAUACUGGGGAUCUCGAGUCCGGAAGAGGUGAGUGGAACUCCGAGUGUAGAGGUGAAAUUCGUAGAUAUUCGGGAAGAACACCAGUGGCGAAGGGCG
rnacentral:rRNA from 1 species